rnacentral:rRNA from 1 species
GACGAACGCUGGCGGCGUGCUUAACACAUGCAAGUCGAACGGAAAGGCUCCAGCUUGCUGGAGUACUCGAGUGGCGAACGGGUGAGUAACACGUGGGUAAUCUGCCCUGCACUCUGGGAUAAGCCUGGGAAACUGGGUCUAAUACUGGAUAUGACCUUUCUCCUUAUGGGGUUUGGUGGAAAGUUUUUCGGUGUAGGAUGAGCCCGCGGCCUAUCAGCUUGUUGGUGGGGUGAUGGCCUACCAAGGCGACGACGGGUAGCCGGCCUGAGAGGGUGUUCGGCCACAUUGGGACUGAGAUACGGCCCAGACUCCUACGGGAGGCAGCAGUGGGGAAUAUUGCACAAUGGGCGGAAGCCUGAUGCAGCGACGCCGCGUGAGGGAUGACGGCCUUCGGGUUGUAAACCUCUUUCAGCAGGGACGAAGCGUAAGUGACGGUACCUGCAGAAGAAGCACCGGCUAACUAUGUG